rnacentral:rRNA from 1 species
AUUGAACGCUGGUGGCAUGCCUUACACAUGCAAGUCGAACGGUAACAGGUCUUCGGAUGCUGACGAGUGGCGAACGGGUGAGUAAUACAUCGGAACGUGCCCGAUCGUGGGGGAUAACUACUCGAAAGAGUAGCUAAUACCGCAUACGAUCUACGGAUGAAAGCGGGGGAUCUUCGGACCUCGUGCGGACGGAGCGGCCGAUGGCAGAUUAGGUAGUUGGUGGGAUAAAAGCUUACCAAGCCGACGAUCUGUAGCUGGUCUGAGAGGACGACCAGUCACACUGGGACUGAGACACGGCCCAGACUCCUACGGGAGGCAGCAGUGGGGAAUAUUGGUCAAUGGGCGAAAGCCUGAACCAGCAAUGCCGCGUGGGUGAUGAAGGCCUUCGGGUUGUAAAGCCCUGUCAGUGGGAAAGAAAAAACCGGUUAAUACCCGGUCUUGACGGUACCCACAAAGGAAGCACCGGCUAACUCUGUGCCAGCCGCCGCGGUAA